GCCCGUGUGGCUCAGUUGGUAGAGCAUGGUGUUUGCAACGCCAGGGUUGUGGGUUCGAUUCCCACAGGGGACC
rnacentral:tRNA from 1 species